GAUGACUACUUGGAGCACAGGGGCUCUCUGAGUCCACUUAUCUGCCCGGGUUUCUAAGACUCAAUCUGGAAGGCACCUAGCGUCUUCAGGGGAAGGGCGCCCUGCGUCUUCACCCUACCGAGAGGGUGCCUGUGGCCUCCGUGGACAGAGCAAGUCCAGUGUCUUGGACUUUAUUGGCUUUCUUUGUAAACCAAGGAAGAUCAAGCCUCUUUCUCUCCCCUUUUACUUUCCCUAUUCGCUGAUGCCGUCCUCCUGAGGGAUUCCCUGGAUCCUGCCAGGGCUGCACCCCGGUAAGUGGUGCCCGGAGCAGGCUCCUGAAGGACGCAGAUUCUCCGAUUUGGAUCCUGGACAGACUAAUUCGUCAUGUCACAGUCCUCAGACACCAGGUCCACUUCACAUGCAUUUGGUCGCUUGCCACCCCCCAGCCAGCUCUCGCCUCCACGCCGCCAGUUGUGUCCCACACCCUCCUCAUUGCACCCCGCAACCUACAGCCAAAAAAGUUUGUGCAGCGAGUGAAGGCCGGAGAGGAGAGUGCGCCUGUGGAGUACCAUCCAGACCAAUGUGGCCCUGCUGGUGAGAGGGGAAUGCCGUGAGCCCAAGUGGCAGCAGCUAGCCCGAGUCCGUGACCCCCACCCCUCUGCCCACCAUGGACACAGUGGCCUGCAGCCUGCCACUCGCUUUCUGCCACCUGCUGCUGGAGACGCUGCUCCCCCAGGCCGAUGCCUACAGCUGCUCCCCGGUACACCCACAACAGGCAUUUUGCAAUGCAGACAUAGUGAUCAGGGCCAAAGAGAACUCUCCAACAGAGCACUCAGAAGCUCGCGACUGA
rnacentral:lncRNA from 1 species